AAAUUGAAGAGUUUGAUCAUGGCUCAGAUUGAACGCUGGCGGCAGGCCUAACACAUGCAAGUCGAACGGUAACAGGAAACAGCUUGCUGUUUCGCUGACGAGUGGCGGACGGGUGAGUAAUGUCUGGGAAACUGCCUGAUGGAGGGGGAUAACUACUGGAAACGGUAGCUAAUACCGCAUAACGUCGCAAGACCAAAGAGGGGGACCCUCGGGCCUCUUGCCAUCGGAUGUGCCCAGAUGGGAUUAGCUUGUUGGUGGGGUAACGGCUCACCAAGGCGACGAUCCCUAGCUGGUCUGAGAGGAUGACCAGCCACACUGGAACUGAGACACGGUCCAGACUCCUACGGGAGGCAGCAGUGGGGAAUAUUGCACAAUGGGCGCAAGCCUGAUGCAGCCAUGCCGCGUGUAUGAAGAAGGCCUUCGGGUUGUAAAGUACUUUCAGCGGGGAGGAAGGGAGUAAAGUUAAUACCUUUGCUCAUUGACGUUACCCGCAGAAGAAGCACCGGCUAACUCCGUGCCAGCAGCCGCGGUAAUACGGAGGGUGCAAGCGUUAAUCGGAAUUACUGGGCGUAAAGCGCACGCAGGCGGUUUGUUAAGUCAGAUGUGAAAUCCCCGGGCUCAACCUGGGAACUGCAUCUGAUACUGGCAAGCUUGAGUCUCGUAGAGGGGGGUAGAAUUCCAGGUGUAGCGGUGAAAUGCGUAGAGAUCUGGAGGAAUACCGGUGGCGAAGGCGGCCCCCUGGACGAAGACUGACGCUCAGGUGCGAAAGCGUGGGGAGCAAACAGGAUUAGAUACCCUGGUAGUCCACGCCGUAAACGAUGUCGACUUGGAGGUUGUGCCCUUGAGGCGUGGCUUCCGGAGCUAACGCGUUAAGUCGACCGCGACUGGGGAGUACGGCCGCAAGGUUAAAACUCAAAUGAAUUGACGGGGGCCCGCACAAGCGGUGGAGCAUGUGGUUUAAUUCGAUGCAACGCGAAGAACCUUACCUGGUCUUGACAUCCACGGAAGUUUUCAGAGAUGAGAAUGUGCCUUCGGGAACCGUGAGACAGGUGCUGCAUGGCUGUCGUCAGCUCGUGUUGUGAAAUGUUGGGUUAAGUCCCGCAACGAGCGCAACCCUUAUCCUUUGUUGCCAGCGGUCCGGCCGGGAACUCAAAGGAGACUGCCAGUGAUAAACUGGAGGAAGGUGGGGAUGACGUCAAGUCAUCAUGGCCCUUACGACCGUGGCUACACACGUGCUACAAUGGCGCAUACAAAGAGAAGCGACCUCGCGAGAGCAAGCGGACCUCAUAAAGUGCGUCGUAGUCCGGAUUGGAGUCUGCAACUCGACUCCAUGAAGUCGGAAUCGCUAGUAAUCGUGGAUCAGAAUGCCACGGUGAAUACGUUCCCGGGCCUUGUACACACCGCCCGUCACACCAUGGGAGUGGGUUGCAAAAGAAGUAGGUAGCUUAACCUUCGGGAGGGCGCUUACCACUUUGUGAUUCAUGACUGGGGUGAAGUCGUAACAAGGUAACCGUAGGGGAACCUGCGGUUGGAUCACCUCCUUACCUUAAAGAAGC
rnacentral:rRNA from 1 species